rnacentral:ncRNA from 1 species
GAGAGCCGGAUCCAAGAAAUUUGGCAGUCCGGUUCGGAGGGAGGGGCAAAGCCCUACUUUGUCCCUACCCCUAU